AACUCGCUGAUUCUGCUUAAACGUCGUCGUUUCGCUCCCCCCCAUACCGUUCCUUUUUCUGUUUCCUAUUUCAUCUGUUCCUUUUUCAUCCCUCCACUACCCAGGGAGAUACUGAGCAACCAACGAUCCAUCCCAAGAAAGCAGCUUCCGAGAUCCGAUCAGAUCCAUUCAAUCUCUUAUCGUUCCCUCUCUCCUGCCAUUCCUACAUUCACAAAAUUCGAUCAGGUUUUUCUGUGACCUGAGCUUUUGAUACCGGCCUCCUCUUCUCUCGACGUUAGGGUUUCACUUGAAUCGGCCUCAUCCGCUGAAUUUUCGUCACAAAUGCGUGGGAUCGUGACCUACGGUUCGUAAGUUUGUAGAUUCAUACACCAAGUGCAUGAGGAUUUGGUGCUGUCUAUGCUUCAGCGAAGAGGACGAGGAGGAGGCAAGAGAGGAAGACAAUUGUUCCAACUCUAUGAGAGAGAUAAACUUUUUCGAAAAGGACCGCUUGCUUGAUGACAAUAUCGAGAAUGACGAUGACCCUUUGGUUGGCACUGAUACGACCCUGAGUCUGGCUGUAAAUAGGCGUGAAGGCGAAGACCAUUUCGCGUGGUCUAACGCGAUGGGUAGGGCUUUGAGUAUGGAUGGGGCUCACACUUGGUUCAAUUCGCAGCCUCGAACAUCGCGGUGGUCCGACGGUGAGAGUAGUUCGGCCUAUGCUGUUGUAUCAGCUGGCUCGGGUAGUGCCGAUGAUGAUGGUCUCGAUUCUCCGCGUAAGCGCGCUAAAGUUCUCUCCGAUUUCGAUCAGCUUCGUUAUGCAACGCCAGCGUCUUCAAAAAUGAGGAAAUCCAGCGCAUCCAUGGGCCAGGAUAGUAUCCAAUGUUCAUCUGUUCAAUCUCAUCAUGACACGGGUUACAAUGCUUUUAUGUUGAUGGGUGCUGCUGAGGAGUGCAACUCUGAUUCUAGCUGUAUGAAAGAGAGUGAGGCAGAUGGCAGUGAUGUCUCAAUAGCAGAAGACUUGGAAGUCAAGAUGGAUUUUACUGAAGAUUUAUUGCAUAUGGUUUUCUCUUUCUUGGAUCACCGUGAUCUCUGCAAAGCUGCCAGUGUCUGUAGGCAGUGGAGAGCUGCUAGUGCUCAUGAAGAUUUCUGGAGGUGUUUGGAUUUUGAAGAUCGGGACAUAUCCGUAGACCAAUUUGCAAAUAUGUGUACACGUUAUCCUAAUGCCACGUCAAUAAAGAUAUCUGGUCCUGCUAUUCACUGGCUUGUUAUGGAGGCUGUAUCUUCAUUAAGAAAUCUUGAGGCUAUAACAUUGGGAAGAGGACAGAUAGGUGAUAAUUUUUUCCAUACUUUAGCCAAUUGCUCUGUGCUGAGAAGAUUGAACAUCAAUGACGCUACACUUGGCAAUGGUAUUCAGGAGAUAGCCAUUAAUCAUGAUAGAUUACGUCAUCUUCUAUUAGUAAAAUGUCGUGUUAUGCGCAUAUCAAUCAGGUGCCCGCAACUUGAAAAAUUGUCGUUGAAGCGCAGUAAUAUGGCCCAGGCUGGGCUUAAUUGCCCACUUUUGCGUGAGCUUGACAUGGGCUCUUGCCACAAACUUCCUGAUGCUGCAAUUCGUGCAGCUGCAAUUUCAUGUCCUCAAUUAGUCUCCCUGGACUUGUCAAAUUGUUCAUGUGUUAGUGAUGAAACACUGCGGGAAAUAUCCGUCAAUUGUGCUAACCUUAGUUAUCUUGAUGCAUCAUACUGCCCAAAUAUCUCCCUGGAGUCUGUUAGACUGCCAAUGUUGACAGUGCUCAAGCUUCACAGCUGUGAGGGAAUUACUUCAGCGUCAAUGGCUGCCAUAUCUUAUUGUCAUUUGUUGGAGGUUUUGGAGCUUGAUAAUUGCAGUCUAUUGACAUCUAUAUUCUUGGAACUUCCUCGCUUGCAGAGUAUUAGAUUGGUUCAUUGUCGCAAAUUUGCUGAUUUGAACUUGAGGACUACAAUGCUGUCUUCUAUUGUUGUUUCUAAUUGUCCUGCGCUCCAUCGGAUGAAUAUCACUUCAAAUUCACUUCAAAAAUUAGCGUUAAAAAAACAGGAUAGCUUAACCUCAUUGGCUCUACAAUGCCAAUCUUUGCAAGAGGUCGACCUCUCUGACUGUGAAUCUUUGACAAAUUCUAUAUGUGAUGUUUUUGGUGAUGGCGGAGGAUGUCCUAUGUUGAAAUCAUUAAUUCUUGAUAAUUGUGAGAGCUUGACAGCAGUUCAGUUCAUCAGCAGCUCUUUAGUCAGCCUUUCCCUUGUUGGUUGUCGGGCAAUUACUACUCUCGAGCUCACAUGCCCUAAGCUUGAUAGAGUUUGCUUAGAUGGUUGCGAUCAUUUGGAAAGAGCAUCAUUCUGUCCUGUAGCUCUUCGAUGUCUCAAUUUGGGAAUUUGUCCCAAAUUGAACAUAAUUAGCAUUGAAGCACCUGUCAUGGUCUCACUUGAAUUGAAAGGAUGUGGCGUCCUCUCCGAAGCAUCCAUUAACUGCCCACUUCUGGCAUCUUUGGAUGCUUCCUUUUGCAGCCAACUAACAGAUGACUGCUUGUCUGCAACAACUGCUUCAUGCCCACUGAUCGAGUCAUUAAUAUUGAUGUCAUGCCCAUCAAUUGGAUCAUAUGGACUUUGUUCUCUGCACUGUCUUCAAAACCUGACUUUUCUUGAUUUAUCAUACACUUUUUUGAUGGAUUUGCAGCCUGUUUUUGAUUCUUGCUCCAAACUUCAGGUAUUAAAGUUACAGGCAUGCAAAUAUCUUACCGAUUCAUCACUUGAGCCUCUUUACAAGAGGGGUGCUUUACCAGCACUUCGGGAGUUAGACUUGUCUUAUGGAACUCUCUGUCAAUCUGCCAUAGAGGAGCUUCUUGCUUGCUGUACACAGCUCACACAUGUGAGCUUAAAUGGAUGUGUGAAUAUGCAUGAUUUGAAUUGGGGCAUCAAUCAUGGUCAAGCUACUGAGUUGCCUGCUUUAGACAUCUCAUCUGGCAUGACUUCAAAUGAGCAUGUCCAUGGGUUCUGCAAUCCGCCCAACCGUUUACUGCAGAACCUCAACUGUGUGGGAUGUCAAAAUAUUAGGAAAGUUCUCAUUCCGCCAACAGCACGUUGUUGGCAUUUGCUUUCUUUGAACCUUUCUUUAUCGACAAAUUUAAAGGAGGUCGAUUUAACCUGUCUCAACCUAUGCUUUCUUAAUUUAAGCAAUUGUUCCUCUUUGGAAGUUUUGAAGCUCGAGUGUCCGAGGCUAACUACCCUAUUUCUUCAGUCUUGCAACAUUGAUGAGGAAGCUGUUGAGGCUGCGAUAUCAAGAUGCAGCAUGCUGGAGACCCUUGAUGUCCGCUUUUGUCCAAAGAUAAGCUUGACCAGUGUGGGAAGAUUACGUGUGGUGUGUCCUAGUUUGAAGCGAAUUUUGCGCAGCUUGUCAGGUUAAUGAUUGCGUGUACCAGCGAUAUACAAAUUUUCCAUUGCUUAUUCUGUUCAUUAUCUGAGAGUGAUGGCACAUUUGGAGGAAUGAAAUGGAUUGGGUGAUAUCAACAGCUGAAGCAAAUGAAGACCAGGUUACAUUCAAUAUUUGGAAUAAAGCUUCAAUAUUAAGUGCUCCAGGACUACGAGCCACUGCUGGAUGAUAAAACGGUGGCUUAAUGGAACAUGCAGAAGGGAAUGGAUGGAGGCGGGUUGCAGGCACCCAAAAAUCAGAGAUGGAUUAAAGAGUUUGUUUUUGUUUUUGUUUGUAAAAAAAGGGGCUUUGGCCCCC